GAGAACACUUCACCUCAUUACCUGGAUGUGGAGUGUUGAAGCUGGAAGGGAUCCCAGAGAUCGGGAAACUCCCCAGGAGUUUGGAUGCUUCAUCUCUGCUGAGACCCAGUGCCUGGCACUGAAGGUGCUCAGGAAAUACCUUCUGAAUGAUCGGAAGCCCCUGCCAUCUGCUAAACUGGAUCUAUGAUGACAGAAGCCGAGGAAUGUGAGGUUCAUCUAGAGAGUUCUUGUGAAUUUUC
rnacentral:lncRNA from 1 species